AGAGUUGAUCAUGGCUCAGGAUGAACGCUAGCUACAGGCUUAACACAUGCAAGUCGAGGGGCAGCAUGGGGUUGCUGCAAACCCCGAUGGCGACCGGCGCACGGGUGAGUAACGCGUAUCCAACCUGCCCCUGUCCUCGGGAUAGCCCGCCGAAAGGCGGAUUAAUACCGGACGCUGUCACAUGAUGGCAUCAGAGCGUGACGAAAGGAUUUUUUCCGGACAGGGAUGGGGAUGCGUCCGAUUAGGCAGGCGGCGGGGCGACGGCCCACCGCGCCGACGAUCGGUAGGGGUUCUGAGAGGAAGGUCCCCCACAUUGGAACUGAGACACGGUCCAAACUCCUACGGGAGGCAGCAGUGAGGAAUAUUGGUCAAUGGGCGAGAGCCUGAACCAGCCAAGUAAGCGUGAGGGAUGACGGCCCUACGGGUUGUAAACCUCUUUUUCGCGGGGAUAAAGUGCGCCACGCGUGGCGUUUUGCAGGUACCGCGUGAAUAAGGACCGGCUAAUUCCGUGCCAGCCGCUGC
rnacentral:rRNA from 1 species